AUUGAACGCUGGCGGCAGGCCUAACACAUGCAAGUCGAGCGAGCGGCGGACGGGUGAGUAAUGUAUGGGGACUGCCCGAUAGAGGGGGAUAACUACUGGAAACGGUAGAUCAUACCGCAUACUAUCGGAUAACCCAUAUGGGAUUAGCUAGUAGGUGAGGUAAUGGCUCACCUAGGCGACGAUCCCUAGCUGGUCUGAGAGGAGGAUCAGCCCGACUGGGACUGAGACACGGCCCAGACUCCUACGGAGGCAGCAGUGGGGAAUAUUGCACAAGUGGCGCAAGCCUGAUGCAGCCAUGCCGCGUGUAUGAAGAAGGCCCUAGGGUUGUAAAGUACUUUCAGGCGGGAGGCGUUACCGACAGAAGAAGCACCGGCUAACUACGUGCCAGCAGCCGCGGUAAUAC
rnacentral:rRNA from 1 species